UGGGGAAUCUUGCCCAAUGGGCGCAAGCCUGAGGCAGCAACGCCGCGUGCGGGAAGAAGGCUCUCGGGUUGUAAACCGCUUUCAGCAGGAACGAAACUGACGGUAUCUGCAGAAGAAGGUGCGGCCAACUACGUGCCAGCAGCCGCGGUGACACGUAGGCACCAAGCGUUGUCCGGAUUUAUUGGGCGUAAAGAGCUCGUAGGCGGUUCGGUAAGUCGGGCGUGAAAUCCCUGGGCUCAACCCAGGAAGUGCACCCGAUACUGCUGUGACUUGAGUUCGGUGGGGGAGUGCGGAAUUCCUGGUGUAGCGGUGGAAUGCGCAGAUAUCAGGAGGAACACCAAUGGCGAAGGCAGCACUCUGGGCCGAAACUGACGCUGAGGAGCGAAAGCGUGGGGAGCGAACAGGAUUAGAUACCCUGGUAGUCCACGCCGUAAACGUUGGGCACUAGGUGUGGGCUCUAACCAACGGAGUCCGUGCCGCAGCUAACGCU
rnacentral:rRNA from 1 species